CCUACGGGAGGCAGCAGUGGGGAAUAUUGCGCAAUGGGCGAAAGCCUGACGCAGCGACGCCGCGUGAGGGAUGAAGGUCUUCGGAUCGUAAACCUCUGUCAGCAGGGAAGAACGGUCACUGUGCUAAUCAGCAGUGAAUUGACGGUACCUGCAAAGGAAGCACCGGCUAACUCCGUGCCAGCAGCCGCGGUAAUACGGGGGGUGCGAGCGUUAAUCGGAAUUACUGGGCGUAAAGCGCUCGUAGGCGGUAUGUCAAGGCAAGGGUGAAAUCCCCGCGCUCAACGUGGGAACGGCCUUUGAAACUGGCAGACUGGAGUGUGUGAGAGGAUAGUGGAAUGCCAGGUGUAGGAGUGAAAUCCGUAGAUAUCUGGAGGAACAUCAGUGGCGAAGGCGACUAUCUGGCACAUAACUGACGCUGAGGAGCGAAAGCGUGGGUAGCAAACAGGAUUAGAUACCCGGGUAGUC
rnacentral:rRNA from 1 species